rnacentral:rRNA from 1 species
ACUCCUACGGGAGGCAGCAGUGGGGAAUAUUGCACAAUGGGGGAAACCCUGAUGCAGCCAUGCCGCGUGUGUGAAGAAGGCCUUCGGGUUGUAAAGCACUUUCAGUGGGGAGGAAAGGUUGUUGGUUAAUACCUAACAGCUGUGACGUUACCCACAGAAGAAGCACCGGCUAACUCCGUGCCAGCAGCCGCGGUAAUACGGAGGGUGCAAGCGUUAAUCGGAAUUACUGGGCGUAAAGCGUGCGCAGGCGGUCUGUCAAGCGAGAUGUGAAAGCCCCGGGCUCAACCUGGGAACUGCAUUUCGAACUGGCAGACUAGAGUCUUGUAGAGGGGGUAGAAUUCCAGGUNUAGCGGUGAAAUGCGUAGAGAUCUGGNGGAAUACCGGUGGCGAAGGCGGCCCCUGG